ACCUGAAAGGAGGCUGUAGUGAGGUGGGGGUUGGUCUCGUUUCCCAAGUAACAGGUGAUAGGACAAGAAGAAAUAGGCUCAAGUUGCACCAGGGAGGUUUAGAUUGAAGAUUAGGAAGAACUUUUUUUCACCAGGAGGGUUGUAAACACCAGAACUGGCUGCCCAGGGAGGUGAUGGAAUCUCUAUCCCUGGAGAUACUGAAAAGCCACGUAGAUGAGGUGCUGAGGGACGUGGUUCAUUGAUGGACUUGGCAGUGUGAGGUCUGUUGGAAGGUACUUGAUCCAUCCUGCUUUCGUCAAUCAGGCAAGGCAAACUGGCCAUAAAGAAGUGUGCAGAAAACAUGCCAGCCUGCUUGGGCAAUGUGGGACACCUUUAGGAGAUGCAAGACAAAAGACAAAAUGAAGCUACACGCUAGUGCCUUGUAGCUGGUGUGGUGAGGGGUGGCCACCAUGCUCUGCUGGCCAUGCUACUCUGAGCUCCAGGCAUCGCCAGCUCAGGAGCAAAGCUGGCAGAAGACUGUGCCUUGAUCUGCAGACAAGAUGGUGUCUUGCGCACCAAAGGGCAACGCUUGCUCUUGCCCAGCUCAACUUGCUUCUCCAUCAGCAGGCGGCAGUCCCAGCUUGCUCCUAGCAGAGGGCACACGCUCCAGACUUACACACUGGCCUGAGUUUGCUGGGCAGCAGCAACAGAAACAGGCAAAAAGCACAAACAGCAACAGCCUCAGCUUGUGUUUGACUCCGACUGUUUUGGUAGUUUCUCCUGAAUGAGGAGAUGAGGAGCUCCAUACUGCCUGGAGCAGAUCCCUUACUGACUCCCAGGAGCAUCAGCACCAGCAGAGCUCAAAUGGUUGGACCCUUUACCAGCUUUGCCCUGGAGGCAUCUGGAGAUGUACCUCUGAUGGGGCCUCCUGCACUAUGUGACCUUGAUCUCCCAUUCUUUGAAGAUAUAACUAAGGAAUUUAGAUUUAAAUUAAUCUUUUGGCACCAUCAGGUUCAGGACUUCCACUCUGAAGACUCAUGAGCUGCAUUAGGAUUAAAUCCCAUCAAGAACAGCAAUGCCUUUGCCGCUGGCUGCUCAUUCAGCUCCCAGCACCCCCGCUGUCACAAUGGCCAGUGCAGUGCCGGGGCUCCCACGGCUCAGAGGGCUCAGUGCCACCAAGCAGCCCGAUGGAGCUGGACUCAACAAGAGCAUGGGGCUGAAUGGCCUCGGGAAGUAUCUUCCAACCUAUUUCCCUCCGGUUCUGCUACCAAAAGCAACCUCAUGGAAAUAACAGCAAACUGAAAACUGCUGAGGAUAGUUGGAUCUCCUGUCUUCUGCUGUCCUCUGCUGUUGUUUCUGUGUAAUGUGGUCACGAAUAAGACUUUCUUCCAUCCCUAUCAGGAGUAAAAGUGACAGAGAAAAUGCACAAGAAAAGAAUCACUUUCUAGUAAAUUCUUUGGCAUACAUUAAGAACUGGGAUUUGCAGAGGUUUUACUUGGACUUUUGCACCUCUCUGGCUGAAGUCCAUUGGGAGCUGCAAGCCCAGCCAUGCCCACCACAGGCCAGAACCACCACAGCCACUUUGCAGCUGCUUAAAAGCAGCAUCAAAAAAGAAAUGCAGACAAACCCACACAUAGCAGUUCAGCACAUAGCUGAACUGAAACCUCUUGAACUUUGGGAAGAAUGUCUCAGGAUUUGGGUGCAGAUUUGUGCCUGAACUUUGUGCCUCUCAGCCGUCUCAAACACACAGUUUAAACUCUUCAGUAAUCUCUGAUCUUUCAGGGUUAAUGAUCAGAUGCAACUUUGAAGCUGCUGAACUCGUGAACCAGGAUGUGUUGGGAAAAGCUGAGGCAUGUAAAGAUUAGCCCUUUCUCAGGAGAAGAGUGUUAGCUGAAGUGAAAGGGAGGGUUUGCAUUUGGUGGGCAUUCUGCCGUUGGGAGUGAUGCCAAAGUCCUGCUCAUCUGUGGCAGCCCCUGUGCUUGAAGGAGCUCAAGCAGCUGUUCCCACUUUGGUUUCUCCAUGCUCAUACAGUGCUUUGAAAUCAGCUUUGGGCAUUAAUCUGUGGCUGCUGUGUUGUGGUAUGCAGGCUGGGGGUUUUUUUUAGUUUGUUUCAGUUCAAACGAGAUGAAGCCCAAUCAUUUAUUACAUCUUUUCUGCAAAGCAUCCCUCUUCCCUGCCUGCAACCCAGAAGCCAAGCCUGGGAGGAGGCAAGCAAGGGGCAGCUCUGCAAUGCCCACCCUGGGAUGCAUGACUGUGCCCAUUCCCACCCCCCUGGGCUGUGUGGCCGUGCCCAUUCCCACUCCCCUGGGCUGCUCCAGCCCAACACUGCUGGGCUAUGGCUGGCAGCUCCCACUCAAUGCCAGGGCAAACCCUGCUCUGAUUCAUUUGCCCCUCACUCCUCCCAGGCACAGAAAGUAUGUCUCAAAUUACUUCAAUUUUACAUAUUAUUAGCAUAUUACUCAGUAUUAAAACAUAAGCAGAGCAGCUCCAAUGGGAUGCAAGAUGUCCUUGUGUGAAAAUUCAUUUCUAGAAGAGAUACAUUUGAAAACUGUGUACUUCUCCAGAAGAAGAGAUUUUCUUCCCAUUUCUCUCCGGUAUAUUUUUAAGCUGAAUUGCCUAAAAUUUUAAAGGAAUAAUCUUUUCAAAGCCAUACUUGACCUGGCAUCAUGCCCAUCCUGUUGCCUCCUCAGCAAAUCUGGAUUUCACCAUGAAGUAACCUAAAUAAGAAGGGUAGUACAUUUGAGAAAACACUCAUAUAAAUUGAGAUUGAUGUAUUAAACGCCUGUAUCUUCUUCCUGCCACCCUAGUGCAGCCGUCACGCUUUGGUCAGGCUUUUAUGAUGAUUCAUAGGUAGAUAUGUAAGUUAGGGUAUGGAAGCUUGCUUAUUAAAACUUACAAUAUUAGUUAGAAAAUUGCACAUACAGUUUUAUGAAAACUGCUAGUCUUGUAAGCCCACAGAGCUAAUAGAAAGACACAGCUAUUUCUUGUAACAUAACUAUUGCUUAGCACUGAUAGUUUCCAGACUGGUAUGUACCUAAACGAAGUUACUAUUGCUUAGCAUUGAUAGUUUCAAGACUGAUAUGUAUCUAAAGAAAAUUAUUAUGGCAAAGCUAUUACAUUAGUUCUACAAUUGAACAUUUGGACAUUGUAUACCACUGAUAAUUACAAGGCUUGCUCAGCCCUAAACAAAACUGUUAUCUGGGAUGGCAGAGAUUUUAGACCAGUUUUCAUCCUGUCCAAGGACCCAGGAGUAAAGAUUCAUCACAAGGAAAUUUUGGGUCUUAAUCCGGAUUAACAGCAAUCCCUAAUGACCACUGAAGGAAGCAAGAGGACACCAAAAGAAACAUGACGGAGGCGUAACUUGAGUGGACCAGGACGGUACUACGGGUGGGCCCUUUCCUGGAAAUGUGAUGAAUAUUCAUGUUUGUUGUAAAUACAAGCUGAAAAUCCAAUGGCUGAGGUGGGCACGUUUGGUAAACAAAUCCCCCGUGUUCCCCAGCACUGCAAUAAAGAAUACCCGCUUAAUAGUCA